rnacentral:lncRNA from 1 species
UGUGUGCUGAAUAAAUUCCAGAAGAGCCAGAGACUUGAGGCCACAGCUGACAGCACUCUACUUGAAGCAUCCAACAUAUGGGAUUUUGACAUCUACCUAAGCCAAUUUUAAAGUGCUGUGACUCUUCUGCCUGGAUCAUGCUCAGUAAGAAUGGUGACAUCGCUGGAUCCAGCUCCCAGGUGCAUCUAAGGAAACGAGCCCUGUGUGAUAGUGGUAAAGAGAACAACUGCAUCCUUCUGUAGCUGAUGCCUUGUUGAGCUUUGAAGCACAUUGAGAAGAAUCUGAAAUCCUUCCUCAUUAUGGGGUGUGUUCAGGCUGCUGAGGUGCCCAUUCUCAAGAUUUUCACUGGACAUUCUGGGGUCCCAGUUCAAGUAUUUUCCAAUGUGAGUCAAGGUGAACCAGAGCCUGAAAUUUUGGUUCAGUGUGGCCAGGCUGAGGCUGCCCUUUUAAAGGGAGAAAUGUCAGGGGGGCUGCACUUGUGGUUGCCAUCCUGAUUUCUUUGUGGAAAUACCUAGUGGGUGAGGAAGGACUCAAGGACCGGGAACAUGACAGAGCACCUAGGCUGACCUACCACGUGGCCCUCUGAGAUCACUGCUGGCAGGAGUGUUUCAUGGAGCUCCAGGCCCCUAUUCUAAGAUGCUUGCCCAUAGCCCCUUCCGUGACUUCCAGGAAAGGUCUACUCUUUUAGCAAGCUGCACCCACUGGUCUCUAGGAGACAAGUAUUCAUUUACCUUUGUGUAAGUCACCUUCUGCUUCAUUUCUAUUAAAUGUUCUCC